GACUAAUGAUUAUUUUUUUUAAUUCAACUAGUAUGUCAUAAUAGGUUAUGGAUUAAAGUACACAAUAGAAACAGUAUAAAAUGAUAAGCCAUAAAGUAAAUUUAAAAUGAAAUUUCAGAAUUUUGAAGUGAUUUUUUUUUUUCUUCAGAAACUUUAACAGAAACCAAUAAGAUUUUCUGAGGGCGAGAUUACACAUUACAAUUACAUCAUGUUAGGAACACUUAAAAUUUGACUAAUCACACAUUAAGGUUCAUUAACAAGUGUUAAGUUCCCUUUAGGCAUCUAUAAAUUAGGCCACUUUCGGAGAGGAUUAUCUCUCAGCUGGGUUACCUAGUUUGAGUUAAAUUAUCGUCUGUGUGCUCACCUGCAGCAAACAAAUUUGAGGCAAGGUUCCUGGCAGGGUUCUAAAUCUCGGUGUGCCCUUUUGCCUCUUCUUCACCACAUUAUAGCCAUGUCCAGUCUCCCAGUUUAAACAAAAAAAAAUUAAAAUAAAUAAAGGCAAGCCACCACUUCAACAAAAACCCUCUCCCAUUCUGGGUAUACAAACAUUAGAAUGGCCCUCAUCCCUUGGGGCUCUUACCUAUCUGAGGCAGUUGACUCACCAGCCUGUACAAUGUUCCUUUUUUAAGUCUAAUAGGCAGCUUCCCCAUUGCAGCUUAGGUCUGCUGUGUGCUGCCCUUGUCUCAGCUGCCUGUCAGCCUAGCAGACUAGCCUGCUGUGUUUUUCCCCUCUUUAGUAACAGGAAUCUUUGGAAGUCCUAAAUCACGGCACAGUAACAGCCCAUGCUGCGCUGUACGUGUGAUGUACGUUUAUUUUUAGCAGCUACUUUUCUGUAGUAAUGUGCUAUACCGGGGACCACGUUGCUAUGCUGAUGUAGCUGUUGGUCGCGUGUAGACGCCUGUGGAUGCUAUAUCACUGUAGCGUCACAUGUACAUACGACUUGUGAAUAGCACUUUACAAGUUGGAGUCUUGUGUACCACCGUCUUAUCCUGCCACUGAUGCACACCAACAACACUGAUUUCCAUUUGUAGCAGCAUACAUUUUAUGAAAUAUCAAGUGUGAUGGUUUAUCUCAGGAUGCAAUUCCUCUCUCUUUUUUUUAAUAAAAAAGAAAAAAAAUUAUAGAAAGAUCUGAGUGUAUAUUUCACAUAAGUCAAAAGUUAGACAUUGUCAGUCAAAUUUGCAGCAAAUGCUUGCCUACAUUACAGAAAGCAAAAUGAGAAAUUGAAGUACUUCAUAAGUUUUGCAUGAGCUUUUUUUUUUUUUUUUUAAUAGACCCCCAUCUGACACUUGCUUGUCAGGAAAUAAAAAAGUUAAAGUUCCUGUAGUAAUAUUAACUCAGUCACUUGCAUGCGUGUUAUUUUCUGUUUCUGUUAUUUGUUUUAAUGCUUAUUUAUGUUAUAAUUUGUUUUGCUCUUCAGAGUGGGAACUGUAUCUUUGUGUGUUUAUAAAGUACUUAGUACAAGUUGUGCACAAUCAUGAGAUAAAUAAGAGUAGUAAUACUUAAAGGGUAGGAUGGCUAAGCUAAAAUUUAUAUAAGAGCUAUAUUUUCAUUUCCUCACUUUUGAAUGUUAAUUAUACAGCAGUGACCUUUAAAGUUGAAAUUUGUGCACAUUUUGAAAGGUAAAUGUGCAUGUGUGCACACACAUCAUCAACUUUGAAGGAGAUGGCAUAUCCCUUGAACAAAAAGUAUAAAAAGUGAGGAAAUAAACACUGAAGUAAUUCAGUUACCCUAGCUAUCCUCCACUCAUCAAUUCUAUAUCUUAGCUUUUACCACCUCUUUUCCACCAUUCUUAGCCCACAUACCUACAACUCUUUAGCAACUUGCAUACUGCCUUAAUAUGGAACAUAAUUAUUAUAAACCAGAUGCCAGUUUGAUACUUUUUACAUUAAGUUGUACCUUAAAUUUGAGUGUUCUUUCCGUAUUCCUAUGCAUGGUUUGCACUGUUCACUGUAGAUCAGAUGGUGGAACCUUCUCACAGCAGGGCCCAUUACAGUACUGGACUCUGUCUGAAUCUAGGGGUGUGUGAAAUGGGCCAUAUUCGAUUCAGAUUCUGAUUCGGCCUGAAUCUGGGACAGUGAUUUGAUUCAUUGAUUCAGAUCACUGCCCCUGAUUCGAUUUGGCUGAAUCCGAAUCUGAAGAUUUGAUGCUGAUUCAGAGAUUCGGCCAUUCAGCCAUAGACACAACUUUAAAUGUUUUUUCUACAUACCUUGAGGUACCAGGCACGGCUUGUGAAUGCUGUGAUGCUGGGGCGGAUGGAGUACUUCCGGGUCCACUGCUGAGCAUGCUGGGGGGCCCCCUUGCCUCUUCUGGCUUAGCGAUCAGCUGUGGGGGGGACCCCGGGUGCCCCCCAGACCCAGGAGGCACCAGUGACCAAGCUGGGAGGGUGCAGGAGGGGCUCCCCCUGCAUGCUUCCCAGCAGAUCUGGAAGUGGACCAGAAGUGGCUAUAGCUAUAGCUUCUGAUAUUUCUUCAUUCAAAGACAGACAGAUGGCUUUGACCCAUUCUAGAUAUGAGGAAGCUCAGUGUCUUCAUUGGGAAAUGUUACUUUGUUUAAAUAACAUUUAGUUAAAUACUCCUCUUUUUUCCCCCUAACUUGGUUUGCUGCAUUUUCUUUAAACGUGCUUGUAUCCACCUUUCUAUCUACCUCCUGGUAUCUCAUUUUUACAGUGCAUUAAUGGCACUUUCUAUAAAAGUUUCUUCCAUUUGAUCUAUGUUUCUUUUUCUUUUUCCAUUGACCUGAAGAGGUUUUCCAAUGUGGUAGCCCAUUUGAAAAGACAGAACGUUUGUUUCUCGCUCCACAGAUAAUUCACCAUCCAAAAUGAUACUGCAUGAAAGAUAUUCAUUAUAUAUGCACCCUCUUUGAGGACUUUUAUAAUACUCAAAGAUAAAAGUCCCAGGUAUGUUCUGUACAAGAAAUCUCCUUUACAGAGGCAGUUUGCGAUGAUCAAGAAAGCAGAUCCUUACGGAUGUGGCUGACAUUCAAUUACAGAGCAAGUACAUAGAUUGUGUGCAUAUUGCACACAUGUGCCCUCACACACAUAUGCUAGCCAUCCCAAAAGGUGCACUGUUUUCAUUGACAUGGUGAAUUUCAAAUGCCACUCUUCUCUAGGAAGAAUGUUGUUUAGUUCUCCAGCUAAAUAGAUAACAAUCUCAUCAGGUGUUUCCACUGUCCAUUAGAGAGCACAUUUUUAGCCCUCUAAGGGUUAAACUAAAACAUGCCAGAGGUGUUUUAAGGUACCACAAAAAAUAAUCUAAAACAAUAAAAUCAGCUGAUAAUGUGGAUACUCAGAUGCUAUUUAGCUAGCUUAAUGGCGAUUUUUGUCAUGUGGACACAGGAAAAGUAAUGUGGAAACGAGAGGUGUCACAUGGACAUGCGCCCUAAUAGUUUCAGGGCUCUGGAACCUUUAGGAAAAGGGAGUUUGUAUGCAUAUUUCAGAACUGAAAACCAUAAAUUCAUCUGGCUCUCAAUUCUUUUCUUCAGGGCAGGAGUAAAUCAGGCUGGUAUGGACAACAACAGUGGUGUGCUGUUUCAAAAGACAAGGGCUUCUCACUCUUCAAAUGCUGAAUGAAGCAGUUGAGCUGUAGGAUUGGUAUAUGCAGCACAUCAGUUCUACUGAAACAGUAAUUUAACUUACUGGUGCUCAAGAACAACUGAAGAACUAGAGAAGCAGAAUAACAAUAAAUCUUAUAAAUCCAGAACUCUUCAUGUCGUCAAAACUACCCUGAAUUCAAACCAGGAUGAUGCACUUGAUUCAGAGGAGGAAAACUGCACACAGCAGCAUGAAGCUACAUCGGACAGCCCUGUAUUUUCCUCCAUCAAGGUACUCUACACAUGGCCCUUCAGGAGCAGCAACUUCCACAGAACAGCACUUACACUGAUACUACUAGCUUAUUGAACAAUCCAUCGACCCUUCUGUAGUGAGUCCGCUUAGUGCAGAAUGGCUGCAGGGAUUCUAUUCAGACAUCCCAGUAGAAAACUACACAGAGUGGAACAAAUCCCUUCCGGAUUUAAUACAGGAACACAGGACAUCUACACAGGUGCAAUAAAGAAGGAAUGCAUGGACUACAUAAUACUGGAUCACACAGAACAAGAAAGCCUUUGUUUUGAAAUACCUCCCCUGGUGAGCCCUCACCUGGAGCACUGUGUUCAGUUUUGGGCCUCACACGAAGAAGAAUAUGGACAAAGGGGAGAGGAUCCAGCACAGAGUGACAAAAAUGACCUGAGGUGUGGACCUGAGAUGCAAGAUAUAUGGUUGGAGCCAAGACAGCAGUUUUUCAUAGGAAACCUUCAAGCACUGAUGCCCAACCUAGCCUGCAGCCAGAGAUUCUUUAAACAACAGUGAUGACUGAGCUAAGCAGUCUACCAGUGAGAAUUGAGUCAUGAGUCUCCCUGUCUCCCAACAACUACUUGAAUUUUUGUAAAGCAUUUUUCUCCUAUUGAUCUAUAUUUUUAAAAAAUGAAAUGUGAAUAACAAGAGAAAUGAGAAUCACAGACAGACUGGAAAGUAUGGAAAUGAAAAAAUGAAAGAAAUGAAUGCACUGACUAAAUGGAUUCCACAAGCUCCCAAAUGAGAACAGCUGGCGUAGCAGGUGGAAAUUUUUCAAGUAAUCCAAACUGGUUUGGAAAAACACACUCUGUGCUUACAGGACAGAAGCAUACUGCAAGGCUGUUGAAGACCCAGGAUAGUGUCAACUAAUCCUUCGCAGCAUUUCUUCUCAUACUUUGUCUUAGCAUUUUAAUUAAUGUUGUGCACUGUGCAGUAUGCUAAGAGAAACGGCAUAAAUAUUCCAUUUUACUUCAUAUACUACUGUGGUUGCAUAUUUUGCAGCUGUGUUCUGAAAUUUCUUCACAAAUUUGGAAAAUUGUUGUAAUUUGUUUAAAUUUUUGUCUGUAAAUAUAAAAGUUUAAAAUAAAUACAGUUAUGAUUAA